rnacentral:lncRNA from 1 species
GAGCAAAUUCGCUACCGGUGUACGAAGCGUGAUAGGGCUCCGUUGCAUGAUAAAAUGCUUUUAGUGACUCUCUACAAGGUGUGGAACGUUUGUAUCUUUUAGGUGUAGGAGGUUGUGCGAGAACGUAGAAGCUGUACCGCGAAUGGUUUUUCUAUUUCCACCGUCAGAUAAUCCGCUGCGAGGAAAUUCGUGGGCCUGACAGGGAGAAUCGUGGACUCAUCACCCUUCAGGUUUUUUUUUGCUUACCUAUUAGUCUCACAUUCUUUUCUCCGCAGGUGUGAGCGCUUCAAAGCUGAGAGAGUUGCCACUGCAGUUGUAGGCGUUUUGCUUCUGUGAUGUGUGGAGCCGUGCUCACAGAAGUUAGCUAGUCGAUUGCAUCACAACACUCUCGUCAUGUCCAUCGGUGAGGUCACGCCUAAACCAGUAGAAAGUUAGAAAAGGCAAAGUGACGCCACUGUUAGUGGUGUACUGAGGCUUGGUGACACGCCAGAAGUACAAACAUAAAUGUAUUGGCGACUGUUUCGGAAACUCCAGGCGCUACUUCGUAUCGAAGCCCUCUACGAACCUUGUUUGUGGAAAAGGUGUGCCGUUACAGAACAUGGAUUUACGUGAAACACCCAUACCGGGACAAUGGGCUUGUCGGGAAGGGAAGGGCAGCUAUGUGCGCAUCCCUGUCGAGGGGAACUCUUUCACGUAGGUCUAGCAAGGGCAGUUGGUUUGGUGUCUACGCGCGGGUGCAAUGGCGAAUACGCUUUCUCGAGCUCUGCGAAUUCGCAUCAAGUCGACGGGAAAGUAAACGGGAGCAAGACGUGGAUCGCAAAAAUUGAGGGAAACCCCGACCCCGUCGAAACGAUGCCAGAAAUUAUCCUGUACCAGGAUUCUUCAAAGUGGGCAUGCAUACGGCAGGUAUCCGUGCAGCAGCUGCGAUGCUGAUCAGGAGGGGCAUCCCUUUGGAAAAAAGAUGAACCAUGAGGAGACGAUGUUUCUCCAAACGCGUGCAACGACAGAGUGCCCCACCAUCCCUUUGACGGGAACUUCCUGUAAUGUUUCGCCGUGUAUAUCGUUAGGUGGGGUUCACGUUAGAUGCAGCUGUCCACAGCACAGAGAGAGGCGAAAGAAUGUGGUAAAAGAUAAGCGAGCCUGGCGUCACAAUCCAUUUGGAGCCGUCGAACACGCUGCAAAGUCUUGGCUGGAGUCACCUGCUUUUGUCAGAAAGAGCGACCUUUUUAUUACGAUUACUCCGGGUCCACAAAGUUUUCGAGCUCUUGUUGCACGUGACCUUUUCCACGCAGACUCUCCGGCUGUGUGUUCACAUCCCUCUUCCUCGUCUUUUUUGAACGGUUAGGUAGAACCUGGGUCGGAAGACUAGUUUCCUCCGUUUUGCGAAAUGGGAGUUCAAGAAAUGCAGAACGUGGUUAUACUCGGAGGGAUAAUCGUGCUACAGGAAAAGUCGAGCCUUGGUUUGUAAAAAAGGAAUGGAAUCGAACCUGGGGGAACUAUGGAAGCAUCCCAUGCAGAUGCUUGCCACAUUUCUGUACCCAUGUCAUUUUGCAUAGGGGGUGCGCAUAUGCCAGCCAAGGCAGACAGGCUAAUGCGAAAACGAUCUGGCAUUUCUUGUGCAGUGCACUCUACCUUUUUAUUGAUCGGACAUGGAGUCGGGCGUUGCCAGACAACCUUUCGCCACGCAGACUACAGUCAUGCCAGGGGACAACAUUGAGAACAUUGUGUGCCGGUGAACACCUGGCUGACUCAGUGGAACUGGAAUGUUGGAGAUAUAUAUAAAUAUAUAUGGGACACGGACUUUCUAAGGUGCCUGACAUUGCAACUGUUGAACAACAGGCUGCUGUGUGAAGGCCCCAGUUUUCGUGCUGGUUCCCAAAAACAAACUUCCAACGAACCCAACUCACAGUACUGCUGAAACCAAAUCACCCCUUCGUACAAAGCUGUGGUGUUAUUCUGCAACGCAGAAAGCAAGUGUCAAAGGAUAUCUACUGACCUCGUGGCUUUAGAAUUGAAGCGUCUGAUUAGGUCUAGGUCACCUUCGGUAUUAGCCGUAUACGUCCUCGG